AUCACUUCUCGGCCUUUUGGCUAAGAUCAAGUGUAGUAUCUGUGAACCAGAUACUACAGUGCACCACUGUAUAUGUGGAAGAGACAGGCUUAACCCAA
rnacentral:snRNA from 1 species